CACUGGGGACAAUGCUAUGAGUCAUGGUGUAUGUGUCACCCAGGCUCUGCCUUUCAAAUAAGCCACUUGACAACUCCAUGCUCCCACUGUCAAGUUUCUGGAACUUCCCAGCAUGCUGUGGAAGGACGGGAACUCUAGGAUAGCAAAAUCCUUGCCUGUCACGUUCACUGCUCCACCCCCUGAGUGCCUAGACCCGUGCCAGGAAUGAGCUGUCACUCCGCAAGUAUCUGCAAGGUGAACCAAAGCUUUUCUCCUGUUCCCCGACCCAUCUCGACCAACGCCUGGUUCUCCAGGAUCAACGCCAGCAAACUGAAGGCAAGGUCACCAGGAAUCUGAUGGCCAAGUCCCCCAUCUGAUCUCAACAGAAGAAAACUAGAACCGAAUUAUGACAGUGAAAAGAAUGAAUACCUGUCAUCCUACCCAAGAACAAGAGCAUUACCGAUAACUCACACCUCCUCUGGGCUCCUUACCUGUCUUGUCGUUCCCUCUCAGAGGUGUUUUUCAGGAAAAGCAGCCAUUCUGAAGAGGACCCAAGAGCAAGAAACUUUUGGUGAGUUACCAAAGAAGAUAAAGGUAGGAGAGAUUUGUUAUAUACUGGUUCAAAAGAGAUCACAGGCUCAACAUGGAGUCACUUGUGCUCGGCCCCGCGUCAGUAAACAAGUUUUACUACUUAACUGAAUGGCAGUUUCAGCUUCCCGGAAAUGUAACCUUUAACCAGGCAACAUGAAAAUGCCUGGAAUUACCUGGUCAGCACUAGUAAGGCAAUCCGGCCUGAUAGGCCCCUUCUAUCCCGAGAGGAGGGCAAGCUUCCUUUUCUACAGCUCGGUGGGGCUCCUCUCUACUAGAUGGGAUGCUGCCUGAUUCAUGAAUCUGUCGAUAAAGCCAAUUAGAUCUUUAAAAUGUAUCCAAUGGAGAUGGAUUGGGGGGACCGCUUCGUACAUUAUGUAAAUGUCUAACU